rnacentral:rRNA from 1 species
GAUGAACGCUAGCGGCAGGCUUAAUACAUGCAAGUCAAGGGGGUAGCAAUACAACCGGCGCACGGGUGAGUAACGCGUACACAACAUACCAUAUACUGGGGUAUAGCUUUGGGAAACUGAAGGUAAUCCCCCCAUAAGAUUGCGAGAGGGCAUCUGAUAGCAAUUAAAGUUUCGGCGGUAUAUGAUUGGUGUGCGUUUGAUUAGCUAGUUGGUAGGGUAACGGCCUACCAAGGCGACGAUCAAUAGCUGGCGUGAGAGCGCGGCCAGCCACACUGGAACUGAGACACGGUCCAGACUCCUACGGGAGGCAGCAGUAGGGAAUAUUGGACAAUGGGCGAAAGCCUGAUCCAGCCAUGCCGCGUGA